rnacentral:rRNA from 1 species
GUGAGGUAAUGGCUCACCAAGGCAUCGACGGGUAGCUGGUCUGAGAGGACGAUCAGCCACACUGGGACUGAGACACGGCCCAGACUCCUACGGGAGGCAGCAGCAGGGAAUAUUGCGCAAUGGGCGAAAGCCUGACGCAGCGACACCGCGUGAAGGAUGAAGGCCCUAGGGUUGUAAACUUCUUUCAGUGGGGAAGAAGCGAAAGUGACGGUACCCACAGAAGAAGCCCCGGCUAACUACGUGCCAGCAGCCGCGGUAAUACGUAGGGGGCAAGCGUUGUCCGGAUUCAUUGGGCGUAAAGAGCUCGUAGGCGGCUUAGAAAGUCGGUCGUGAAAUGCCGAGGCUCAACCUCGGAACGCCGAUCGAAACUUCUAUGGCUAGGGUCCGGUAGAGGAGAACGGAAUUCUCGGUGUAGCGGUGAAAUGCGCAGAUAUCGAGAGGAACACCAGUAGCGAAGGCGGUUCUCUGGGCCGGUACCGACGCUGAGGAGCGAAAGCGUGGGGAGCGAACAGGAUUAGAUACCCUGGUAGUCCACGCCGUAAACGUUGGGCACUAGGUGUGGCGAGUUCAUCAAUGCUCGGUACCGAAGCUAACGCGUUAAGUG